rnacentral:lncRNA from 1 species
CAGGCCUGGGACCCAAACCUCUGAAAAGGGGCAUCCACAGGCUGAAGCUAGUACCUUUGGGGAGAAAAAAGAACAAUGAAGCUGGGUUUGCAAGUGUUGGAAUAACUGCAUCCUGGAUUUAGUUGAGGUGAUGGGAAGGAACUCCUGUCGUGGGUGAAGAAUUACUGGGAUGCCACUCGUGGGAAAUGUAGGCAGACAGAGGCUCACAGAAGCCGAAACAGAACAAAUAGAAAAGAGCAAGUUUCUUCUUUCUCCUGCAUCUUUGUAGCCCUCCUCAGUCACCAGCUAUGGUAGAACCACUUUUAAUCUCCUGAAA